ACUCCAGGAGAUGACUAGAUAGCAUCACUGACUCAAUGAACAUGAAUUUAAGCAAACUCUGAAAUAUAAUGGAAAACAGAAGAGCCU